AAUACCUAGAGAUAGUGGACGUUACUCGCAGAAUAAGCACCGGCUAACUCUGUGCCAGCAGCCGCGGUAAUACAGAGGGUGCAAGCGUUAAUCGGAUUUACUGGGCGUAAAGCGCGCGUAGGCGGCUAAUUAAGUCAAAUGUGAAAUCCCCGAGCUUAACUUGGGAAUUGCAUUCGAUACUGGUUAGCUAGAGUGUGGGAGAGGAUGGUAGAAUUCCAGGUGUAGCGGUGAAAUGCGUAGAGAUCUGGAGGAAUACCGAUGGCGAAGGCAGCCAUCUGGCCUAACACUGACGCUGAGGUGCGAAAGCAUGGGGAGCAAACAGGAUUAGAUACCCUGGUAGUCCAUGCCGUAAACGAUGUCUACUAGCCGUUGGGGCCUUUGAGGCUUUAGUGGCGCAGCUAACGCGAUAAGUAGACCGCCUGGGGAGUACGGUCGCAAGACUAAAACUCAAAUGAAUUGACGGGGGCCCGCACAAGCGGUGGAGCAUGUGGUUUAAUUCGAUGCAACGCGAAGAACCUUACCUGGCCUUGACAUAGUAAGAACUUUCCAGAGAUGGAUUGGUGCCUUCGGGAACUUACAUACAGGUGCUGCAUGGCUGUCGUCAGCUCGUGUCGUGAGAUGUUGGGUUAAGUCCCGCAACGAGCGCAACCCUUUUCCUUAUUUGCCAGCGAGUAAUGUCGGGAACUUUAAGGAUACUGCCAGUGACAAACUGGAGGAAGGCGGGGACGACGUCAAGUCAUCAUGGCCCUUACGGCCAGGGCUACACACGUGCUACAAUGGUCGGUACAAAGGGUUGCUACCUAGCGAUAGGAUGCUAAUCUCAAAAAGCCGAUCGUAGUCCGGAUUGGAGUCUGCAACUCGACUCCAUGAAGUCGGAAUCGCUAGUAAUCGCGGAUCAGAAUGCCGCGGUGAAUACGUUCCCGGGCCUUGUACACACCGCCCGUCACACCAUGGGAGUUUGUUGCACCAGAAGUAGCUAGCCUAACUGCAAAGAGGGCGGUUACCACGGUGUGGCCGAUGACUGGGGUGAAGUCGUAACAAGGUAGCCGUAGGGGAACCUGCGGCUGGAUCACCUCCUUAACGAA
rnacentral:rRNA from 1 species